CUAACUUAUUUUGAGUUCUCGGGACAUGUUUAAAUUCAACGUUGAUGAACUUCUUGUGCAACUCUUUCACACACUCCAAAUAUGGAAGCAGCUUCACGUUUUUGACACUCCAUUUGCCUUGUACGAUGAAUCACCAAAUCUGAAUCUCUUAUAACUAACAGUUCCUGUAUAUUCAUAUCAGCAGCCACUUUAAGACCAAGAAUGCAAGCCUUGUACUCUACCAUAUUGUUAGUGCAUGGAAAUUGAGCUUUGCUG
rnacentral:lncRNA from 1 species